rnacentral:rRNA from 1 species
AACGUAGGAGGCGAGCGUUAUCCGGAUUUACUGGGCGUAAAGCGUGUGCAGGCGGUGAGGAAGUCGUGUGUGAAAGCUCCCUGGCUUAACCGGGAGAGGUCAUGCGAUACUCCUGCACUGGAGACAAGGAGAGGCAAGUGGGAUUCCGGGUGUAGUGGUGAAAUGCGUAGAGAUCCGGAGGAACACCAGUGGCGAAGGCGGCUUGCUGGCCUUGAUCUGACGCUCAGACGCGACAGCAUGGGGAGCGAACGGG